GUCAAAGGCUUUAAUUUGGCAAAUAGGAGUUUGUAGAUCACGCAAGUUUUGAAGGGAAAUAGCCGGUACACAUUCAAGGCAGUAAUUUUGAACAAUACCAUCCCCAUUUCUAGCCUUACCACUGUCAUGGAUUCUUGUCUUACCAAUCCUUGAUCCAAAAGCUUACUAAUUGAAAAUCUCAAAUUAGUUUUACGAUUUUGUUCUUAGGAAAUUCCUCUCCUGCAGUCGUGGCAAUCGUACAACUUGAACGUGGAGAGUGGUGAUC
rnacentral:misc_RNA from 1 species